AGCGAACGCUGGCGGCAGGCUUAACACAUGCAAGUCGAACGAUGAAACCUAGCUUGCUAGGUCGAUUAGUGGCGAACGGGUGAGUAACACGUGACUAACCUGCCCCUUUCUCUGGGAUAACGCUCCGAAAGGAGUGCUAAUACCGGAUACUCACAUCGAGGCACAUGCCUUGGUGUGGAAAGUUUUUCGGAAAGGGAUGGAGUCGCGGCCUAUCAGCUUGUUGGUGAGGUAACGGCUCACCAAGGCGACGACGGGUAGCCGGCCCGAGAGGGCGACCGGCCACACUGGGACUGAGACACGGCCCAGACUCCUACGGGAGGCAGCAGUGGGGAAUAUUGCACAAUGGGCGCAAGCCUGAUGCAGCGACGCCGCGUGAGGGAUGAAGGUCUUCGGAUUGUAAACCUCUUUCAGUAGGGACGAAGCGAAGGUGACGGUACCUAAAGAAGAAGCACCGGCUAACUACGUGCCAGCCGCCGCCGUAA
rnacentral:rRNA from 1 species